rnacentral:rRNA from 1 species
CACGUAGGGGGCGAGCGUUGUCCGGAUUUAUUGGGCGUAAAGAGCUCGUAGGCGGCUCAGUAAGUCGGGUGUGAAAACUCCAGGCUCAACCUGGAGACGCCACCUGAUACUGCUGUGGCUAGAGUCCGGUAGGGGAGCGCGGAACUUCCGGUGGAGCGGUGAAAUGCGUAGAUAUCGGAAGGAACACCGGUGGCGAAAGCGGCGCUCUGGUCCUCUUCUGACGCUGAGGCGCGAAAGCCAGGGGAGCAAACGGG